UAGAAAAUAAUAUAAAGGAAGUAUGGAGGGUUUUGAUCCCUUCAGUGCGGGUUCAAUUCCUGCUUUUCUAA
rnacentral:tRNA from 2 species